GCCGCCAUAGCUCAGCUGGUAGAGCGGACGGCUGUUAACCGUCAGGUCUGAGGUUCGAAUCCUCAUGGCGGCG
rnacentral:tRNA from 1 species